rnacentral:tRNA from 1 species
GGGACGGUAGCUCAGUUGGUAGAGCAUCGGGCUUUUAACCCGCAGGUCGAGGGUUCGAGCCCCUCCCGUCUCA